rnacentral:rRNA from 1 species
UGGGGAAUAUUGGACAAAGGGCGAAAGCCUGAUCCAGCCAUGCCGCGGGUGUGAAGAAGGCCUUUUGGUUGUAAAGCACUUUAAGCGAGGAGGAGGCUACUUGGAUUAAUACUCUAGGAUAGUGGACGUUACUCGCAGAAUAAGCACCGGCUAACUCUGUGCCAGCAGCCGCGGUAAUACAGAGGGUGCGAGCGUUAAUCGGAUUUACUGGGCGUAAAGCGUGCGUAGGCGGCUUCUUAAGUCGGAUGUGAAAUCCCUGAGCUUAACUUAGGAAUUGCAUUCGAUACUGGGAAGCUAGAGUAUGGGGGAGGAUGGUAGAAUUCCAGGUGUAGCGGUGAAAUGCGUAGAGAUCUGGAGGAAUACCGAUGGCGAAGGCAGCCCUCUGGCCUAAUCCUGACGCUGAGGUACGAAGGCAUGGGGAGCAAACAGG